rnacentral:rRNA from 1 species
GACGAACGCUGGCGGCGUGCUUAACACAUGCAAGUCGAGCGGUAAGGCCCUUUCGGGGGUACACGAGCGGCGAACGGGUGAGUAACACGUGGGUGACCUGCCCUCAGCUCUGGGAUAAGCCUGGGAAACCGGGUCUAAUACCGGAUAUGACUCCAUGACGCAUGUUGUGGGGUGGAAAGCCUUGUGCGGCUGAGGAUGGGCCCGCGGCCUAUCAGCUUGUUGGUGGGGUGAUGGCCUACCAAGGCGACGACGGGUAGCCGGCCUGAGAGGGCGACCGGCCACACUGGGACUGAGACACGGCCCAGACUCCUACGGGAGGCAGCAGUGGGGAAUCUUGCGCAAUGGGCGAAAGCCUGACGCAGCGCGCCGCGUGAGGGAUGACGGCCU